GCGGCCUUAGAGAUCUUUAUAGUCCACCCUGAGUGUUUCAGAUAAGGAGCCGGAGGCCCAGAGAGGGGACACUCCUGCCCCAGCGCCACACAACUCAGCAGUAACACGUGAGGUGGCAGUCCAGGAUCAGCGUUUUCUUGGAACCGAGUCGCCUUCAGUGUCCCUGGAGUGCUGGGGGUUACCGAGGGGGGCAGGGACAGAGAGGCCUUCUAGAUAAAUACCCUGCUCUGGCGCAGGCCUCAGACAGCUGGGCAAACGCCGGCCGGGAGGACCGGCUCAGGCAGAGAUCCCAGAAGGCGGCCUGGGCGGUGGAGGCGGCAUGCCGGCCCGUCGAUGCCCCCUUGUGGCCAAGCGCUGAAACGCCAGGCGGGGACCGAGGCGGCAGGUGCGGCUGCCCUGAGCUUCGCCCUAAGGAGCAUCUUUCACCGCCGCAGGUCACCGGCCAGCGAAGCCAAGGAAGUCUGUGCGUGUGCAGACUCAGGCCAUAAAUGUGGGCCCCACCGGCGGCUGACCAAUAUUUUGGGUAAACGCUCAAGGAAUGGAGCUGAAUAAUGACGACAUUACAGACCGAAUGUUUGUGUCCCCUCCCCACUUCCUACGUUGAAGCCUGACCCCCAGUGCUGUCGUGCUUGGAAGCGGGGCCUUUGGGAGUGAUGAGGGUUAAAUGAGGUGGUGAGGUGGGGCUCCUGUGAGGGGACUAGUGCCCUUGUGGAAGACAGAGAGAACCAGAGCUGCGGUUGCUGCCCUGCGAGCACACAGGGAGAAGGUCAUCUGCUGACAGAGAGACGGUCCUUUCUCACCAGGAACCGGAUCUCCCGCCACCUUGACCUUGGGCUUCCAGCCUCCAGAACUGUGAGAAAUAAAUCUCUCUUGUUUAAGCCCCGAGUCUGUGGUGUUCAGUUCUGGCUGCCUGAGCAGACUAAGACAAAUCAUCAGCAUUUCUAUUUGCAGGACUGCCAAGUGGAGAAAAAGCAGACCUGUUCUCUUUAGUCCCAAAGAAGGAGCAAAAGCCAAGGAGUAAAAGCUUCAGUGUCGUCUCAGAGCAAAGGCUGAGCUGUCCAAAGAUGGGACAGGGGCCUCUGGAGGUGGCCAGUCCCUGCCUCAGGUCGCAGGGCGCACCAGAGCUGGGUGGGCAGGUGGGGUGGUUAGAGCCCGUGGCUGAGGAUCAGUCUGGGGCCGUUUGCAGCCUUGGGAGGGACAGGGAGGCAGGAGGAAGUCUCCCACUGCGGGAGGGAGCACUGGCCUUGGGGAGAUUCACAGAAGGGUCCGGAACAACAGUAGAGAUGAGCUGCUCCAUGAUCCUCCGGGAGCUGGCCCCUCACUGACCACCCCGCACGGCGGGACUGGUUCCCGCUGAGAAGUUGCUCUGCUUUCUCUCUGCUUUGCUGACUCUCUGGCUUGAGGACAAAGUGCUGCGGCCUCUUUAAUACCCCAGCACUGCGGGCUGGGCAUCCUGAUCACUGCUGGUUCAAAGGUCAGAAACCCCAAGGGGCAGCUGAACUUGUGGCAACGGUGGGAGAGGAGUUGCUGUUGACCAACGUCUGGGCCAGAAGGCCACUUAUUCCUGGCAGAUUCUGGAACUCUAGAGGGAGGGCUUACUCCCUUGUCCAGGGAACAAGCUCAGAGCAGUUGCUUAUUCACCCAUCCACCCCAUGCUGCGACUAAAAUCCAAAUUCCAGAUUCCAAAUGCUGCUAAAAGGCAGCCCUCUUCCUUCAGCCAUUGACCCCAGAAAUGCCCUGGCCGAGUGGUCUCCUCUUGGACUGCUUACCAUCUCCCAGGUUUCACCUGCAGUCCUGCAGCUCGUGCCUCAGGGUCUACCUGGGAAAUGAUAGCAAAAUAAACUGCUGAGAUGUUCAGGCUCUUUCCUCUGGGCAGAGUAUACACAGAAGCCAGAUGCAAUGGAAGCACUAACAGGGGACAGCCGACCUCCCUGCCGUGUGCCGUGGGGAACCAGGGCCUAGGACACACGUUCCUGACAAACGCCAUGCUUCCUGCCUGGGCACAUGGUGGUGGUGGUGUUUGAGGCCAGCGUUACACCUCAUUGUGCUAAUGUGCAUGUUUGAGCAAAGUUCAGAGUACAGUGGGAGGUAAAAACUCCAGUCCUCAAAGCCACAGAUAUCCAGAAUCCACACAGUAGCCUGCUCUUUCCAGGACCUCCAGGUGGAUGGGCAGUGUCUUCGUCAUCUCGGGCUGCUGUAACAAGAACCAUAGACUGGGGGCUUGAACAAGAGACGUUUGAUUCUCACAGUUCUGGAGGCUGGAAGUGCCAGCCUGGUUGGGUUCUGGUGAGAGGUCUCUUCCUGGUUUGCAGAUGGCGCCUGGUCACUGUGUCCUCACAGGGCAGAGAGAGAGCAAGCUCUGGUGUCUCUUCCUCUUCUUACAAGGGCACCAGUUCUGUCAGAUCAGGGCCCCACCCUUCUGACCUCAUUCAACCUUCAUCACCUGCAGACAGGCCCAUCUGCAAUACAAUCACUUGGGAGGUCAGAGCUUCAGCAUGUGACUUUGGAGGGACACAGUUCAGUCCACAGCAGUCACGCACCGCAUUGCAUCAAAAGACAUGGAAGUUUGAAAAGAGAGAAUGCCAGAGAAGAAAGAGUGGGGAAGGGAAGGGGCCAUGGCCAAGACGGUGUCAGAGAGAGUUACCAAAAAUACGUAAAACCAGGGAUCCAGACCACCAUCUGGGGCCACUCGUAAAUCAGCAGGAAAGGCUGGAAGGGCGCAUGGUGGUCUUCCUCUACUCUACGCCAGCUCUCCUGGAUCCUGGUGCCAGCUCAGGGCAUCUUCUCCUCUCCUUGUCACCAUAGACUCAAAAAAAAAGCACUCAUUUGGAGACAGGGAGGAGGUGAUGGGAAAGAGAUCAGAGAGAGAGACUGUUACACUUUAGGUCCUGAGAGGACAUGGGUCUCCCUGGGUCUGCGAGUUAGGAACUUUCUGCACGCCACAUGCCUCACAGGCCCAGGAGAGCAUCUGCACGGUGGUAGUUUGGAAAGACUCAUGGAAAACAGAGCAAAAGCUGGGGCCCAGGAGAACUCCUGCCUUUUCACAAAAUCCUUUUGGAUGAGGGGGUGUUGAAAGAAUGAUCAAGAGAUGUCAUGGAAUCUUCUUGCCCACACCCUUGAACAAGCAGGACAGAUAGUUCCUAGUAUCCAUCAUCCAUUAUCAAUUAGCCAUUAUCCAUUAUCCAUCAUCCAUCAGCCAUCAGCCAUCAUGCCGGAAGCCACAGGAGCCUGCACCGCUCCUCUCUUCAAGCUGCUGACAAUCACUGCUGUGCCAGCGAUGCAGAGAAUCCUUCCUCUCCCACCUCUUUUCUUCUUUAUUCCCCACCUGGAAAUUGAUGUUGCUUGAAAGGACUUGUUGAGCUUUUGUUUUGCUUUUUUCUUAACAAGAACUGGAAAAUUUGAGUAGUCUUUUUGCAACGUUAGAGUAUGAAGGUUGUGCUCCCCUCUAAGGAUUUUACAAUGCGGAGAAGUUGGAGGUGACCAGAAACAAAUAAACUGAGGAAGCUUUAUUGCCUAAUUACUUGGAGGAUGAUUAAAAAAAAAAGCAGUUAUGGGGCUGGCCCCGUGGCCGAGUGGUUAAGUUCGCGCGCUGCUCUGCAGGCGGCCCAGUGUUUCGUUGGUUCGGAUCCUGGGCGCGGACAUGGCACUGCUCAUCAGACCACGCUGAGGCAGCGUCCCACAUGCCACAACUAGAAGAACCCACAACGAAGAAUACACAACUAUGUACCGGGGGCUUUGGGGAGAAAAAGGAAAAAAUAAAAUCUUUAAAAAAAAAAAAAAAAGCAGUUAUGCUUGGGGCUGCUAGGUGCUACUUACUCUCUAUUCUUCCUUUCUUCCUUAAUAAGAGAAAACUUGUAUUGUUUUGGAUAGCAGUGUACCCAAACUAAAAACACAAAACAAAAACUGUAUGUCCAGGUCUUCUUUGCAGAUGUGAGUGGCCAAUGAGCUCUAAACAGAAGCUUUUGGAUGGGGCCUCCAGUAAACAAGACUUAUUUAGCCUGCAGACACCCCUUGUCCCUGCUUGUUCCUUUUUCUUCCUGCCUGGAACAUGGACAUGAUGACUGGAGCUGUGGCAGCCAUCUUGGAACCAUGAAGGAAAAGUCAAGAAAAUUAUAAAAACUUUGGCCCUGGCAUACUUGAGCUUCUACACCAGGGGUUGGCAAACUAUGGCCCGUGAGCCAAAUCUGGCCCACCAUCUGUUUUUGUAAAUAAAGUUUUAUUGGAAUA
ensembl:lncRNA